rnacentral:lncRNA from 1 species
ACCUACAUUAUAUUUUAUACCAAAAACACAACUUAAAACCACAAAUAGUACUUAAACACACAUAUACUUAAUCCAAAACACACAAAUACUUAAUCCAAAACACACAAAUACUUAAGUUUUAAAAUACGCAAGUCUAAAAGUACGAUCAAAUAUCAAACAAGUAAUCAAAAAUCAUCAUCCUCAAGUCCAUCCUCAAAUGCGUCAUCCCCAUCUUCACCAAUGUCCUCUUCCAUCUCAUUCACUUCCCUCUCCUCAUCCGCAUCUUCAUCCUCAUCUAAAAGCCUUCUCGAACUCGAAGCAACUACACUCUUUCCUUUAUCAACUCUAGAUGCCCGUCUAGUGCUAUAAAUAGGAUCAUUAGCUCCCGAAGCCUUACUAACGACAUUCCAUGUCAAAUCACCAUCCUCAAACACAAGAUCAUCUUCAUUAGAAGAUUCCCCAUCCAUAUGUCCAACCAACCAUUCAUUGCUAUCAUCAAUCUCUUCUAAUAGAAUAGGAUCUAUUGUGUCUUUCCUCUUGUAUCGCCUUUCCAAA